GUCGCUUUUGAUCAGAACCUGUCUCCUAUAUGCAUAUCUAUCAGAAUUAAAUAGGUGGUCAAAAACUGUCGACAAACUAAUGUAUGGGCCUGGUCGUAAAGUGCAGUCUAAAUUUCCAUUGUAGGGACCGUACAACUCUCGUCCUUGCCAGUACGUGUGCGUGAUCCAGGCAAUGUCAAGUACGCCCACCGCUUACUAUUGCUAAUAUUCACCCUUAACAUCCGCUAGCCCAGUCCGUAACAAUGCAAGAUAACUGCCACCAUUAACAGUCUACGAUUUCAGUCUGUAAGCAGAAUUAAAUUGAGUGCAUUCAACAACAACACAACAGAAAACGAAACGAAACGAAACCAAAAGUAAAUGCGAAAUACUACAAAAAUCUGUUACAAGUUCGAAUAAACCCGCAGCAAAGAUACUCCGAAAAUGAGGCGCACUCUUUGGCACAUGCUCACGGCCCAGCUCCUGCUCCUGGUACUCUGUUCGCUGCUCUCUCUCUGCUCCGGCGGCAAUAUGCAUCCUUUGAAAGUGGGCAAAAACUAUGCGUCGCUGCACAACCAGCCCAAGGACUUUCGCUCUUUAGUGAUGGAUAUUAGCAAGUUUGUUCUCACUAUUGUGAGCAGAACGCGUUGAGUCACGUUUUUUUUUGUUUAUUGUUAAUUUUUUUUGAGCACGUAUUCCUUAUUUAUAGAAAGGUAUGUCCCUGUGUGCAGCCGCUCCUAUGAUAAAAGAAUAAUCCAAUGAUUUUAAUAAUAAUCCAAACAAAUAGCAAAAGCUUUUUCCUCCAUCUAAUCUGUCCAAAGAUCUGACUAGUACCAUAUCUAUUACUAAGCUGGCGUCGAGAUUUGAAUUCCAAUCUGAGUCCUGCCCCCCAUUCAAUUCAGAGUUCCAAAAUUCUCCAUUAAAGACCGACAGAAAGGCCAGCGACCAGCAGAUCAGUGCAGAGACCGACAAUCAUUGCCAAAGCAACGCAAAGCCUGGCCUCGAACUGAAUUUACAAUAAAAAUUCUUAAUUCUUGGUACAAAAAUUUCUGUAUUUAGCUGAUGAAAAUAAUUU
rnacentral:sRNA from 1 species